rnacentral:lncRNA from 1 species
GAGUAAGAUGGCAGGUUCACGGCUGUUCUUUGUAACGUCUGAAACUUGUUCGAAUUAAAUGCGGAAGGGGCACGCCUGGACCAAUGAUGUAAAGGGAAUGCAUCUGAAUAAAAAUUAUGAUCAGUCAUGUUUGAACCACUGAGGUCCACGGCGAAAAGAGAGCUGGUGUAUAACUUGCGGGGGGGUGACCUCAGGGAAGUGAGACUCUAGUUGAGAGGGUUCAUGGACAUUGGUUUUAUAUUACUACUGGAUAAAUGAAUGGGUCAAUAAACAGAUACGUGUGAAAGAAAAGAAAGAGGUCAGAACACAGACCAAUUUUGAAGCUGUGAAAGAAAACAAGGAAUAUUACUUCAGUUCUGUAACACCUUGGUCCAUUAAGAAAACAUAUACCUGAAGUGUUACCACUUUAUGUUAGAAGCAGCUAAAAAGAGGUGUUUAAUAGUCAAUGCUUUGCUCUUAGUUUGAAGUAGAUUACUAGCUGUUUGACUCAGGAAGAAAUGAGGAUUAAACAAAUGGUUAACUAAGUGGAUGGAUGCAAAAUAUGAACCAUUGAUGGAUGUAUUGUAUUCUUUUUGACAUCUGCUUUGUGCCCCAGAAUGGCUGCACCUUGUUUGUUUCCGUCCUUAUUUAAUGAUGAAGAUCUUGGCUCUUACCUUUGUGGCCAAGGAGAGCAGAGAGAUUAGGGUAAGUAACAGAUGAAAUAUUUAUUCGUGGUUUCAUCAUUUUGUUUAUGGAUGGCCUAUAAUUCUUAAAAAGAAGAGAUGUCUUCAUGCAAUCAUAAAACAAAUCAAAGCAGCACAGGCAGAGACCAAUGAUAAAAACUGGCCUGAAAAGGAUCAUGGCUCAAUCAUUUUGCAAAACCGAAAAAACAGGUUUCCAUUAGAAAGGUUGAUUGCCCCCUCUUAGAGUAAGAGGAUUAUAGGCACUUCUAGGCUUGGUCAAGGAUCUUGUUCUUGGGUUGGUUGUGUUUUCCUUGGGUUAUAAAUAAUCAACCACAAAAUAAGCUGGUAAAAAAAAGAAACAUAAAAAUUAAAGAUAAAGAGCCAGUAAAAUCACAGCGGCCACUCAUGACCAAUGAUGUAAUUAUUCAUAAAACAAGAAUUUGUUUAAUUCAACUUUGGGAGUUCCUGUCGUGGCACAGUGGUUCACGAAUCCGACUAGGAACCAUGAGGUUGCGGGUUCGAUCCCUGACCUUGCUCAGUGGGUUAAGGAUCCGGCAUUGCCGUGAGCUGUGGUGUAGGUUGCAGACACGGCUCAGAUCCUGCAUUGCUGUGGCUGUGGUGUAGGCUGGUGGCUACAGCUCCGAUCCGACCCCUAGCCUGGGAACCUCCAUAUGCCAUGAGAGCAGCCCAAGAAAUGGCAAAAAGACACACAAAAAAGAAGUACACAGACUUAACAGUCAAAAAUUCCUCCCUUGUUUGGAAGUAGAGUCUUUACUUUUGACUUUAUUUUUGAAAAUGAGUACCUGACUAAAUUAACAACAAGGGAAAAUUUACAUAUAAAGAAAAUUAAAAUAACCCAAGUGUCCCAGUGAUACAAGUGUACGAAACAAGAAUUAUCAUCAACCCAAUUUUGCCUGUUUGAGAUCCACUUAACCUAAGAGAUUUAAUGUUACAUUGGACAUAGAUAAAUAUGUGUGUCUGUAUCUUUGUAUCUACGUGUGUGUGUGUGUGUGUGUGUGUGUGAGUGUGUAGAGGACGUGGUUUAUCAUGAGGACAUAGAUGGUAAAAUGUCUAUAGAUUUUGUUCUUGCAUUUUAGUGGGUUCAGGAGUGUUACUGUGUUCAUCAUUAUUACUGUUUAUUAUUGUAAAUCAGUCCGUGAAAAAUUAAAUGAGAAGAAGUCAAAUCAUGGGCCAGUGAAACAAGGAUUGUGAUUAUUACAGUUCUGCCCCACUGACACUCAUGAACUGAAACAUUUUUAAAAUAUUUGUUUUAAUAGUAUCUGGUAUAUAGUACUACAUGUUGUACUGACAUAAUUUGGAUAGUUUUGCAUGCUUCUCACCUAGGUUGUUUUUUUUUCCCCUCCAUCAGGCACAGAUACUAGUGACCUGAUUGGAGGUAAUGACAGGAGGCCCCCCUACCCCCUAUUUUAUGUUUUUCUGGCACUUUGUACCUGGGAGAGUGCUCCAGUAACUGAUGCUAAGUAUUCAUUUCAGCUCAGCAAGGACUGCUUCAAGUCUGUGUCAGGCUCUGGGCCGGUCAUGGCGUUCAUAUCUCAAUCUGAUCUCAUUCCCGCAUUCAAGCGGCUCCUUAGGCUUAGGUGGAGACCUACGUAUAAAGGUAGUAAUUCAGUAUCAUAAGGCCGGUAGGUGAGCUUUCCAGACGCACAAACGGCAGGACCCCAGUUCAGUUUUACGUGUCAAAUGCUUUAUAAAAGUGAAGAUGCCUGAGCCACUAAGCAACUCCGUUGGCUGAAAGGUCCGUGAAGUUAGACAUCAUACCCCAUCCAGGGCUCUGCCCAAUGCAGUUAGCACAGAGAGCCCACCUAAGCCGUUUGUUAAAUGACCCAUUGACUCAAUGAUGAAAGACAGAGAGAAUGAAUGAAUGAAGCGACGAGUUAGUCAAUGAAUGAGUCUUGGAGUAAGC